UUUUAGAAUUUAAUUUAAAGUCUAACCUGCCCACUGAAUAAUUUUAAAUGGCCGCAGUAUCUUAACUGUGCAAAGGUAGCAUAAUCAUUAGUCUUUUAAUUGAAGGCUGGAAUGAAUGGUUGAAUGAAAUAUUAACUGUUUCAUAAAAAUUUAAAAUAAAAUUUUAUUUUUUAGUUAAAAAGCUAAAAUUUAUUUAAAAGACGAGAAGACCCUAUAAAUCUUUAUAUUUAAACGAUUUUAAUUAUAUUGAAAAUUUAAAUUAUAAUUGAUUUAAAUAUUUUAUUGGGGUGAUAUUAAAAUUUAAUAAACUUUUAAUUUAUAAUUUACAUAAAUUAAUGAAUUAUUGAUCCAUAAAAAUGAUUAAAAAAUUAAGUUACUUUAGGGAUAACAGCGUAAUUUUUUUAGAGAGUUCAUAUUGAUAAAAA
rnacentral:rRNA from 1 species